GAAGAAGAUUGGAUUCAAUGGAACAUUGCUAAUUGAACCCAAGCCCCAAGAGCCUACCAAACAUCAGUAUGAUUGGGAUGCUGCAACAUCAGCUAAUUUCCUGAGGAAAUAUGGUCUUAUUGAUGAUUUUAAGCUUAACAUUGAAUGCAAUCAUGUCACCCUAUCGGGUCACAGUUGCCACCAUGAUCUUGAAACUGCAAGGCUCAAUGGAAUUCUCGGAAGCAUUGAUGCAAAUACUGGCGAUCCUCAAGUUGGUUGGGAUACUGAUCAAUUUAUGACCGACAUUGGAGAGGCAACUAUGGUUAUGCUCAGUGUUGUCAGAAAUGGAGGAUUGGCA
rnacentral:misc_RNA from 1 species